GGGCCCGCACAAGCGGUGGAGUAUGUGGUUUAAUUCGAUGCAACGCGAAGAACCUUACCAGGGUUUGACAUCCUGCGAAUCUCUUGGAAACAGGAGAGUGCCUUCGGGAACGCAGUGACAGGUGGUGCAUGGCUGUCGUCAGCUCGUGUCGUGAGAUGUUGGGUUAAGUCCCGCAACGAGCGCAACCCACGUCUUUAGUUGCCAGCAUUUAGUUGGGCACUCUAGAGAGACUGCCGGUGAUAAACCGGAGGAAGGUGGGACGACGUCAAGUCAUCAUGGCCUUACGUGUAGGGCUACACACGUGCUACAAUGGCAUUUACAGAGGAAGCGAGACAGUGAUGUGGAGC
rnacentral:rRNA from 1 species